UACGUAGGGGUGAGACGUUGUCCGGAAUUACUGGGCGUAAAGAGCUCGUAGGUGGUUUGUCGCGUUGUCCGUGAAAACUCACAGCUCAACUGUGGGCGUGCGGGCGAUACGGGCAGACUGGAGUACUGCAGGGGAGACUGGAAUUCCUGGUGUAGCGGUGGAAUGCGCAGAUAUCAGGAGGAACACCGGUGGCGAAGGCGGGUCUCUGGGCAGUAACUGACGCUGAGGAGCGAAAGCGUGGGGAGCGAACAGG
rnacentral:rRNA from 1 species